UACGGGGGGGGCAAGCGUUGUUCGGAAUUACUGGGCGUAAAGGGCUCGUAGGCGGCCAACUAAGUCAGACGUGAAAUCCCCAGGCUCAACCUGGGAACUCGCGUCUGAUACUGGAUGGCUUGAAUCCGGGAGAGGGAUGCAGAAUUCCAGGUGUAGCGGUGAAAUGCGUAGAUAUCUGGAGGAAUACCGGUGGCGAAGGCGGCAUCCUGGACCGGCAUUGACGCUGAGGUGCGAAAGCGUGGGGGAGCGAACGAGG
rnacentral:rRNA from 1 species